UUAACCCUGCUGUGUGCGUGGGUCACGGUGAGUUUGAGCCAACACCGUGUGAGAGGGAGCCUGGACUCCGCUUAGCGGCGCGUAGACUGCCACGCAGUCGGCAGAAACGCAAAGCUACGGGAGGGCACCCACCUGCUUAGGCAGGUUCAACACCCUCCGGGUUCACGGCAUGGCGGGGUACGC
rnacentral:other from 1 species